UACGUAGGGGGCAAGCGUUGUCCGGAUUUAUUGGGCGUAAAGAGCGUGUAGGCGGCCAUACAGGUCCGUUGUGAAAACUGGAGGCUUAACCUCCAGACGUCGAUGGAAACCGUAUGGCUGGAGUCCGGAAGAGGAGAGUGGAAUUCCUGGUGUAGCGGUGAAAUGCGCAGAUAUCAGGAAGAACACCCGUGGCGAAGGCGGCUCUCUGGGACGGUACUGACGCUGAGACGCGAAAGCGUGGGGAGCGAACAGG
rnacentral:rRNA from 1 species